ACAGGGACGAUGUAGAGCAU
rnacentral:miRNA from 1 species